GCGGGAGUAGCUCAAUUGGCUAGAGCAUCAGCCUUCCAAGCUGAGGGUUACGGGUUCGAUCCCCGCCUCCCGCU
rnacentral:tRNA from 1 species